UUAACUAAAACCAAAAUUUAGAGGUACUUCACUGUUAAUGAAAUUAUUGAUUUAAAAUCUAGUUAAA
rnacentral:tRNA from 1 species